rnacentral:rRNA from 1 species
UAAGACGUAGGGGGCCAGCGUUGUUCGGAAUUACUGGGUGUAAAGGGUCAGUAGGCGGUGUGGCAAGUUGGGAGUGAAAUCUAUGGGCUCAACCCAUAGGCUGCUUCCAAAACUGCUGUGCUUGAGUGUGGGAGAGGCGCGUGGAAUUGCAGGUGUAGCGGUGAAAUGCGUAGAUAUCUGCAGGAACACCCGUGGCGAAAGCGGCGCGCUGGACCACAACUGACGCUGAAUGACGAAAGCUAGGGGAGCAAACAGGAUUAGAUACCCUGGUAGUCCUAGCCCUAAACGAUCAGGACUUGGGGUGCCACCCGUUCGGGUGGCGUCCCGGAGCUAACGCGUUAAGUCCUGCACCUGGGGAGUACGGUCGCAAGACUGAAACUCAAAGGAAUUGACGGGGGCCCGCACAAGCGGUGGAACAUGUGGUUCAAUUCGACGCUACGCGAGGAACCUUACCUGGGCUCGAAGCGCACUUGAUCAGCUGUAGAAAUACGGCCUUCCCGCAAGGGACAAGUGUGGAGGCGCUGCAUGGCUGUCGUCAGCUCGUGCCGUGAGGUGUUGGGUUAAGUCCCGCAACGAGCGCAACCCCUGCACGUAGUUGCCACUCCGCAAGGAGGGAACUCUACGUGGACUGCUCCGGAUAACGGAGAGGAAGGUGGGGAUGACGUCAAGUCCGCAUGGCCUUUAUGUCCAGGGCUACACACGUGUUACAAUGCAGGGUACAAACCGUUGCCAACCCGCGAGGGGGAGCUAAUCGGAAAAAACUCUGCUCAGUUCGGAUUGCAGUCUGCAACUCGACUGCAUGAAGCCGGAAUCGCUAGUAAUGGCGUAUCAGAUCGACGCCGUGAAUACGUUCCCGGGCCUUGUACACACCGCCCGUCACAUCACGAAAGUGAGUUGUACUAGAAGUCGCCAAGCUAACCGCAAGGAGGCAGGCGCCCAAGGUAUGACCCAUGAUUGGGGUG